UCAUGGCUGUAAAAGAUUUGUUCACCAAGUGACAGGAUUACGACAAGAAGACGAGAAGAACCCUGAACAUGAAUUCGUGGACGCUUCUCUGUUCUCAAGAGCGCUGUUCUGGGUCAGCCCAGUCCUCAAUUUCCACACCCUCCUUUUUGGCAUCGCUUUUGGACUCAUCCCGCUAGCCGCGCUGUGGGUGUUGUGGCUUUAUCCUCCUGGAAAGUACUACUUCAAGGCACCCCCUCCUCCCGACUACGUGGGUCACACCGUCAUGAACAUCACCGCCAGGGAGAGAGGCGAGGCUGAUGCAUUUUUGUGGUGAAGCCAAGCAUACGUUAAAAGUGACGAAGAAUACACGAAAUAAUAAUGUGCGACGCAAUUUGUAAUGUUUAACAGAAGCAAAUGUGAAUUAUUUACAGACAACAAAUUCCAGCCAAGAUUAUGAUGUGUAUGUAUGUCAAAUAAAUCACUCUAUAAAGUCAGAACGAAUAUGUAAGUGUGUCGUAAAUAAUAUUGAACUCUAGCUUCUUAUUACAGACUGUAAUUUACAGUACAUUGUACAAGAUAUAUUAAAUAUGUGAGUAAUUGAAUUUCCAUUGCAUGCAUGCAUACAUUUUAUUUACUCGUAAAAGAUUGUUUACAUAUUUGAAACGCUAUUAUUCUGACCCAGCAGCAGCUUUGUGAGUAAUAAAAAGUCGGUCCUGCGUCGUGUCAAGGAAUGAACUAGAACUUCCACACGGCCCUUUAAGACAGACACCCAGUCGACGUCGCUGAUUGGUCACUCGGAGGCAAAAACCGUGUGCAAAUUUCGAUUCCAGGCGGUUUUUGCAGACGAAACCUUACUUCCAAGUGCGGAUUGUAACAUGGGUGCACACGGCACCUUCGUCACAUCCACUUUUAAAGGAGCAUUGUACAGCAUUGAGCUCAAUUGCGAAUUCACAUUCAAUUCAACAUCAACUCCACAUAGAUAUUUACAUACGUCGUUGAUCCUAUCGCAUUGUCUCAAUUUGCAUAGCUUGGGUAUCCGUAUUCUACAAGAGGUCAAAAAUCUUGCAUUGUUGUAACUUUAGCUGGGCGUGUUUUACUUCGUGUAAUAUUCAAAAACGUACUCGUCACUACUCUGCCUACAAAAAGUACCUCAGCUCUUGAUUUUAAUCAAACCGAUCUAAAGAAAAUUGACAGAAACAUGCCGUUAGCUGCCAAGGAUUGCGGUUGCAAAAGCGGAGGGGUGUGUUCUUGCGGGGAUAACUGUGCGUGUUCCACCCCCUGCAAAUGCAAGUCGGGAGGAGAUUGUACCUGCGGCCCGGAUUGUAAGUGCUCUGAAGUUGGAUCUGUUGUUGCUGGUGGGUGUGGUUGCAAAACGGGUGGGACGUGCUCUUGCGGCGAUAAUUGUAAAUGCGCCCCUGCUAAAGUCGAAGGAUGUGCUUGUCAAUCAGGAGGAACGUGCACCUGCACCGACUGCAAGUGUACAGCGUCGAAAUCUGCAUGUUGUCAAGGGGGAAAGUGCUGCUAAAUACAGAAAUCACUCACUCACGGUACGAUGAUGAUGGAACAUUUUAUUAUUUUUGCAAACUUUGUAUUCAGUACUGCACCCAGUGCAGUUUAGUAAUAAUUUUGAUUAGUAAUGCUUAUUCAUGAUUGAAGAUCUAUGGGAAAUAAAAAUGGUACAUAAAAAGAUGAA